rnacentral:rRNA from 1 species
UACGGAGGAUCCAAGCGUUAUCCGGAUUUAUUGGGUGUAAAGGGUGCGUAGACGGGAAAUUAAGUUAGUUGUGAAAUCCCUCGGCUUAACUGAGGAACUGCAACUAAAACUGAUUUUCUUGAGUACUGGAGAGGAAAGUGGAAUUCCUAGUGUAGCGGUGGAAUGCGUAGAUAUUAGGAGGAACACCAGUGGCGAAGGCGAUUUGCUGGGCCAUUACUGACGCUCAUGCACGAAAGCGUGGGGAGCAAAUAGG